GCAUAUCAAUAAGCGGAGGAAAAGAAACCAACAGGGAUUGCCCCAGUAACGGCGAGUGAAGCGGCAACAGCUCAAAUUUGAAAUCUGGCCCCUCGGGCCCGAGUUGUAAUUUGUAGAGGAUGCUUUUGGCAAGGUGCCGCCCGAGUUCCCUGGAACGGGACGCCACAGAGGGUGAGAGCCCCGUCUGGCUGGCCGCCGAGCCUCUGUAAAGCUCCUUCGACGAGUCGAGUAGUUUGGGAAUGCUGCUCAAAAUGGGAGGUAUAUGUCUUCUAAAGCUAAAUAUUGGCCAGAGACCGAUAGCGCACAAGUAGAGUGAUCGAAAGAUGAAAAGCACUUUGAAAAGAGGGUUAAACAGUACGUGAAAUUGUUGAAAGGGAAGCGCUCAUGACCAGACUUGGGCUUGGCGGAUCAUCCGGCGUUCUCGCCGGUGCACUUCGCCUCGCCCAGGCCAGCAUCAGUUCGCGCCGGGGGACAAAAGCUUCGGGAAUGUGGCUCCUCCGGGAGUGUUAUAGCCCGUUGCAUAAUACCCUGGUGCGGACUGAGGUCCGCGCAUCUGCAAGGAUGCUGGCGUAAUGGUCAUCAGCGACCCGUCUUGAAACACGGACCAAGGAGUCGUCUUCGUAUGCGAGUGUUCGGGUGUUAAACCCCUACGCGUAAUGAAAGUGAACGCAGGUGAGAGCUUCGGCGCAUCAUCGACCGAUCCUGAUGUUCUCGGAUGGAUUUGAGUAAGAGCAUACGGGGCCGGACCCGAAAGAAGGUGAACUAUGCCUGUAUAGGGUGAAGCCAGAGGAAACUCUGGUGGAGGCUCGCAGCGGGUUCUGACGUGCAAAUCGAUCGUCAAAUAUGGGCAUGGGGGGCGAAGACUAAUCGAAUCUUCUAGUAGCUGGUUUCGCGAG
rnacentral:rRNA from 1 species